rnacentral:rRNA from 1 species
CCUACGGGAGGCAGCAGUGAGGAAUAUUGGUCAAUGGACGAGAGUCUGAACCAGCCACGUAGCGUGAAGGAUGACUGCCCUAUGGGUUGUAAACUUCUUUUAUAUGGGAAUAAAACGUUCCACGUGUGGGAUUUUGUAUGUACCAUAUGAAUAAGGAUCGUCUAACUCCGUGCCAGCAGCCGCGGUAAUACGGAGGAUCCGAGCGUUAUCCGGAUUUAGUGGGUUUAAAGGGAGCGUAGGUGGAUUGUUAAGUCAGUUGUGAAAGUUUGCGGCUCAACCGUAAAAUUGCAGUUGAAACUGGCAGUCUUGAGUACAGUAGAGGUGGGCGGAAUUCGUGGUGUAGCGGUGAAAUGCUUAGAUAUCACGAAGAACUCCGAUUGCGAAGGCAGCUCACUGGACUGCAACUGACACUGAGGCUCGAAAGUGUGGGUAUCAAACAGGAUUAGAUACCCUUGUAGUC